rnacentral:rRNA from 1 species
AUUGAACGCUGGCGGCAUGCCUUACACAUGCAAGUCGAACGGCAGCACGGGAGCAAUCCUGGUGGCGAGUGGCGAACGGGUGAGUAAUAUAUCGGAACGUGCCCACGUAGUGGGGGAGUAACUGCUCGAAAGAGCAGCUAAUACCGCAUACGACCUGAGGGUGAAAGGGGGGGAGUCGCAAGACCUCUCGCUAUUGGAGCGGCCGAUAUCAGAUUAGCUAGUUGGUGGGGUAAAGGCCUACCAAGGCAACGAUCUGUAGUUGGUCUGAGAGGACGACCAGCCACACUGGGACUGAGACACGGCCCAGACUCCUACGGGAGGCAGCAGUGGGGAAUUUUGGACAAUGGGCGCAAGCCUGAUCCAGCAAUGCCGCGUGCAGGAAGAAGGCCUUCGGUU